UCACCCACUAGACACCCGGCUCAGCCUCACUCCCUGCCUGGCACUUAGCGUGAGGAAGUAUGCGCUGGGACCCUGGUUCUCCCACAUAGUUGCUGUGUGAACUAAGCAAGGGUUCCACGUUCCAGAACUACGAUGACGACGACUGGCCCAGGUGCACAGAGAAGCUGAGAGAGGCAUGCUCCCCACAGCACCGCUGGAACGCACCAGCUGUCUUCCGCCAGGACUGAUUGGUCCCAGCCCUGCACAGGGAACCUUUGGCUCCAUCUGAAGAUGCUUUUGGCUAUUGUCAAUUGGGGAGGCAGUGCUACUGGCACAUGGACAGGAGCCAACGAUGGGAUGCUGCUGACCGUCAACACAACACCCUGGACUGUUUCCCAAAUGUCAGUAGUGCCGUGGUUGAGAAAUCCUAGCAGAGGAUGGGAAAAGCUGGGAGCCACUGGGAUGAAUCUGUUGCUGCCUCCGGAAUAUCCCCAAGCCUGAAAAGUCCCCGCCUCCUCCAAGAAGACUUCAAGGUUAGAGGAGUCAAGGACUGACUUCUGCACCCCAAGAGCCUCACC